GAGAACCUCAUCUAUGGCUCUUGGGAAUGGCAUCAUUGCUUGGCUAUUUUGAAUGUACAUAUAUGGACCAAAGACUUGAGGUGGAGAUGAUUGCAGUGGAUUGAACAGAAUUAGUAGUGGAAUAAACCCAGUGGAACUGGGAUGGAAUGAAUAUCUCAUAUGGAAGAGGAAUGAGUAAAGGAACUACCACAGAGAAGGAGAGAAAUGUGAAAGAUGGAGAGGAGGUCUGGAAGUAUGAAAAACAUAUUCUCAUCAUGAAGAAAGAAAAACAUACACAAUUAGAAGGAAAUGAAAACAUUGGAAAUACAAAAAAGGAAAACAUAUGAAGAUAUGAAAAGAAAACAAAAGUGAUCAGGAAAAAGAAAAAGAACCUAUAUGCCCCAGCUGACAGUAGAAGCUGAAGAUGAAGUUGAAGGUGUGGAAGCUGAAGGGAGCUGUGCUUCCCACCCUGUUAUCAAGGAUGACUGUAACACUGGAGGACACAGAAUUUUGGAAAUGACAGAAUCCCACUUGGAAACUAACUUCCCCUUAACAGUUGGAAAGAUGGAACUGCACUCAAUCAGACAGGGUUGGGAACAGCACUCUCACAGAUGGCUGAACAGCAGCUGAAACUAAGAAAAUAAGAUACAAGACCUUUUUCUCAUGUCUGGAAAACAGAAUAUUUCCCCUAAAGCAAAGUGGAAACGAGCUACAUAGUGGUUUAUUUUAUGCAUCUCUAGUAAUAUCACAUAUUAAACUUAUACCUUAGUGUUUAUUUCUGUCUAUGUUUCUCUGAGUAAGGCUGAGUGUAAUUAAAAGUCAUCAAUAAAUUGCCAUUUAUCGCUUUUUGAUGAACCUAG
rnacentral:lncRNA from 1 species